GGGUUCCUUCUCCCAACUGCUGCCUACUGAACCAGUGAACUAAGCCCGUAACGGCUCUUUUACCUUAUAUUAUGUUCAUAGUAAGUGGUUAAACCAAACUAUC